GGCUCCGUCGUCCAAUGGAUCAGGACUCCCGGCUACGAACCGGGGAAUUGGGGUUCAAGUCCUCACGGGGCUGCCA
rnacentral:tRNA from 1 species